GAUGAACGCUGGCGGCGUGCCUAAUACAUGCAAGUCGAGCGAACAGAUAAGGAGCUUGCUCCUUUGACGUUAGCGGCGGACGGGUGAGUAACACGUGGGUAACCUACCUAUAAGACUGGAAUAACUCCGGGAAACCGGGGCUAAUGCCGGAUAACAUUUAGAACCGCAUGGUUCUAAAGUGAAAGAUGGUUUUGCUAUCACUUAUAGAUGGACCCGCGCCGUAUUAGCUAGUUGGUAAGGUAACGGCUUACCAAGGCAACGAUACGUAGCCGACCUGAGAGGGUGAUCGGCCACACUGGAACUGAGACACGGUCCAGACUCCUACGGGAGGCAGCGGUAGGGAAUCUUCCGCAAUGGGCGAAAGCCUGACGGAGCAACGCCGCGUGAGUGAUGAAGGUCUUCGGAUCGUAAAACUCUGUUAUUAGGGAAGAACAAAUGUGUAAGUAACUGUGCACGUCUUGACGGUACCUAAUCAGAAAGCCACGGCUAACUACGUG
rnacentral:rRNA from 1 species